rnacentral:rRNA from 1 species
AUGCGGCGGGAAGAAGUGGCAUUUAGAAGUGUUGCUGACUUUACAUUUAGGUUUCGGCAUAACAAAGCUUGCACUGUCUUUUCGCACUUAGGCGCACAUCGUGCUGUUGGUAAUGAUUCUACUACGGUGCUGCAAAUUCGCAAGCUGAUCCUAAGUAAUCGUUGUUGUUCAUUGGAUUCCUCCGGAAUUACUUCGUUAGGAUUGAAGAAUUGUUCCAAUUCUUCCUGA